UACGUAGGGGACAAGCGUUGUCCGGAUUUACUGGGCGUAAAGAGCGCGCAGGCGGUCGAUCAAGUCGAGUGUGAAAGCCUCCGGCUCAACUGGGGAGGGGCAUUCGAUACUGAUCGACUCGAAGGCAGGAGAGGGUAGUGGAAUUCCCGGUGUAGUGGUGAAAUGCGUAGAUAUCAGGAAGAACACCCGUGGCGAAGGCGGCUCUCUGGGACGGUACUGACGCUGAGACGCGAAAGCGUGGGGAGCGAACAGG
rnacentral:rRNA from 1 species